ACGAACGCUGGCGGCAUGCCUAACACAUGCAAGUCGAACGAAGGCUUCGGCCUUAGUGGCGCACGGGUGCGUAACGCGUGGGAAUCUGCCCUUGGGUUCGGAAUAACAGUGAGAAAUUACUGCUAAUACCGGAUGAUGACUUCGGUCCAAAGAUUUAUCGCCCAAGGAUGAGCCCGCGUAAGAUUAGCUAGUUGGUGAGGUAAAGGCUCACCAAGGCGACGAUCUUUAGCUGGUCUGAGAGGAUGAUCAGCCACACUGGGACUGAGACACGGCCCAGACUCCUACGGGAGGCAGCAGUGGGGAAUAUUGGACAAUGGGCGAAAGCCUGAUCCAGCAAUGCCGCGUGAGUGAUGAAGGCCUUAGGGUUGUAAAGCUCUUUUACCAGGGAUGAUAAUGACAGUACCUGGAGAAUAAGCUCCGGCUAACUCCGU
rnacentral:rRNA from 1 species